rnacentral:rRNA from 1 species
UGGGGAAUCUUGCGCAAUGGGCGAAAGCCUGACGCAGCGACGCCGCGUGAGUGAUGAAGGCCUUCGGGUUGUAAAGCUCUGUGGGGAGAGACGAAUAAGUGCAAGCUAAUACCUUGCAUGAUGACGGUAUCUCCUUAGCAAGCACCGGCUAACUCUGUGCCAGCAGCCGCGGUAAGACAGAGGGUGCAAACGUUGUUCGGAAUUACUGGGCGUAAAGCGAGUGUAGGCGGUUUCCUAAGUCAGGUGUGAAAGCCCCGGGCUCAACCCGGGAAGUGCACUUGAAACUGGGAGGCUAGAGUACUGGAGAGGUUGGUGGAAUUCUCGGUGUAGAGGUGAAAUUCGUAGAUAUCGAGAGGAACACCGGUGGCGAAGGCGGCCAACUGGACAGAUACUGACGCUGAGACUCGAAAGCGUGGGGAGCAAAC